UUUUUUCUUUCACUCUAUUCUUGUCUAAUGAAACUUUCUAUCUUCUUUCGCUUUUCUCGUCGUCUCCUUCACUCUAUUCUCGCUCAAUCCACUUCUUCUCUUUAUUUCGUCAUCUCUUCGUUUCUUCAUCUCCUUCCUCAUCUUUUUCACCUUCUUCUUCUUCUCCCUCUUUUCUCGUCUUCUCCAAAAACUCAACUUUUUCAGAUCUAAUUUUUUUUUUUAGAUCUCGUCGGCCUUUUAUGAUGUACCGCUAAAGUAAUCGAAGAAGACGUUGAUAGUUCUUCGACAGUGGCAACUGGCAAGGGAUCUCUUCCGUCCACACUAGCUCCAUCUCGUCUCUUAGAUUUGUGGCCGUUUCCACAUCUUAGCCGUUAGUGAGUCUCUCCCGAAUUCUUCUUAGAUUAGGGUUCUCGAAUUGUGUUUUUUCAUCCAUGAUUUUUUCUAAUUCCUCGUGUUGAGGAGUCCUAACGCGAUUGAUGAAUCUGUGGAUUAAAAUAAUGGAUAAAGAAGAUAAGUGAUGAAUCGAGUUGAGGUGAAAUCAGAUUCGAGGUUAGGGUUGAAUCUUUAAUUUCUACUAAUUUGGGUGUAAGACUUUUACUUGGUUUUAUUUGAGUAGACGUGGAAGAAAAUCAGUAGACGAAGCGUCGGCUCCGGAAGGUUGACGAAUCGAAGAGGAGUUGCUUGAAGGUUGCCAACUUCAUCACUAUCAUCUUCUUAUUUCUUACUCUGGAAUCAGCCUACGAAACUGGGUGCUCCAACAAGGAUUUCUGCGUUUCAUAAAUAUAAGCCUGGAUUGUAAGUGUAGAAAGAGUGUAGUGGGAGGAAAACAAACGCAAAGGUUGUGAUGGAAGCAAAUAAUCGUUAGGAGAUAAUGGCUACAUGUGAGCAGGUUUAUGUUAGCUAAGAUCACACCAAAUCUUAUUCGCUGCGCAGGUAGGAUUUGACUACAACGAAAUCAAGCAUCUACAACAGCAAUAACACAAGUCCUCUUAAUUGUUUACUUUGAUGACAUACAAGAACAAGUCAUCGAUGAUCUUAUAAUUUCCAUCUGGGUGAUUAUUUGAAUGUGGAAGACUCUAGAGGUAUGGUUGUGUGAUGAAACGGCAUAAUCUUUGUGUGGACGAAGCCUCAAAGGAACAAUGCACUUGUUGGAGCUCAUUCGUCUUCAUGGAAGUGUGGUUGUGAACUGCAAAGAAGAAGAAGUGUGGCCAUAACAACCCUGAUUUUUUUGUUAUCUCAUUUGUAGUAGAAGCCCAAGAAGAAUAUUAAGUAGGCUCAUAUCAAGAAUCCGAUCUUGCUUGCUUUUUA